rnacentral:rRNA from 1 species
CUAUCAAUUCUAAAGGUAUCUGGAAUAAUUUUAAAUGUAUUUAGUACAGAAUAAUUUUUAAAUAAAGAAAUGUUAAGAUUUCAUUAAUUAUAGAAUAUUAAAUAUAAUUUAAGUAUGAAUUAAUCUUCCAAUAUAUAAAUUUAAUAAUAAUAACUUAUUUAAUAUAUCUUUAUAUUAAAAUUAUCUUUUCUAUAACUACUUAGAAAAUUAAUAAUGUUAAAAUUAGUAAUUUUUUACUAUUUUAAAUUAAGGAACUCGGCAAACUAUUAUUCAACUGUUUAUCAAAAACAUAGUCUUAUGUAUUCCAUAUAAGGUGAAACCUGCCCACUGAUUUUUAUGAAUUUAACGGCCGCAGUACCUUGACUGUGCUAAGGUAGCAUAAUAAAUUGACUCUUAAUUGGGGCCUUGAAUGAAUGGAUUAAUGGAUAAUUUCUGUCUUAAUAAAAUUUAAAUUAAAUUACUUAAAAGGUGAAAAUUCCUUUAAUUUAUAUAAUAGACGAGAAGACCCUAGGAGUUUUAUUUUUGUUGGGGCGACAGUAUAACAUUAUAACUUAUAUACUUAUAAUUAAUUAUUAAACGAAUUAUUUUAAUAGUAAAGAAACUACCCUAGGGAUAACAGCAUAAUUUUUAAAAAGUUUGUGACCUCGAUGUU